rnacentral:rRNA from 1 species
AUUGAACGCUGGCGGCAGGCCUAACACAUGCAAGUCGAGCGGAAGAAGGGAGCUUGCUCCUGGAUUCAGCGGCGGACGGGUGAGUAAUGCCUAGGAAUCUGCCUGGUAGUGGGGGAUAACGUCCGGAAACGGGCGCUAAUACCGCAUACGUCCUGAGGGAGCAAGUGGGGGAUCUUCGGAACUCACGCUAUCAGAUGAGCCUAGGUCGGAUUAGCUAGUUUGUGGGGUAAAGGGCUACCAAGGAGACUAUCGGUAACUGGUCUGUGAGGAUGGUCGGUCACACUGGAAGGGAGACGCGGUCAAUACGACUACGGGAGGCACCAGUGGGGAAUAUUGGACAAUGGGCGGAAACCUGGUCCAGCCAUGCCGAGUGUGUGAAGAAGGCGUUCGGAUUGUAAAGCACUUUAAGUUGUGAGGAAGGGCAGUAAGUUAAUACCUUGCUGUUUUGACGUUACCAACAGAAUAAGCACCGGCUAACUUCGUG